rnacentral:rRNA from 1 species
CCUACGGGGGGCAGCAGUGGGGAAUUUUGGACAAUGGGGGCAACCCUGAUCCAGCAAUGCCGCGUGUGUGAAGAAGGCCUUCGGGUUGUAAAGCACUUUUGUCCGGGAAGAAAUCCCUUGAGUUAAUACCUCGGGGGGAUGACGGUACUGGAAGAAUCAGCACCGGCUAACUACGUGCCAGCAGCCGCGGUAAUACGUAGGGUGCAAGCGUUAAUCGGAAUUACUGGGCGUAAAGCGUGCGCAGGCGGUUGAGCAAGAUCGAUGUGAAAGCCCCGGGCUUAACCUGGGAAUGGCAUGGAUGACUGCUUGGCUCGAGUGUGUCAGAGGGGGGUAGAAUUCCACGUGUAGCAGUGAAAUGCGUAGAGAUGUGGAGGAAUACCGAUGGCGAAGGCAGCCCCCUGGGAUAACACUGACGCUCAGGCACGAAAGCGUGGGGAGCA